UACGUAGGGUGCAAGCGUUGUCCGGAAUUAUUGGGCGUAAAGGGCUCGUAGGCGGUCCAUCGCGUCGGGAGUGAAAAGCUGGGGCUUAACCCCAGUCCUGCUUCCGAUACGGGUGGACUAGAGGUAGGUAGGGGAGAUCGGAAUUCCUGGUGUAGCGGUGAAAUGCGCAGAGAUCGGGAGGAACACCUGCGGCGAAGGCGGGUUGCUGGGCUGAUACUGACGCUGAGGCGCGAAAGCCAGGGGAGCGAACGGG
rnacentral:rRNA from 1 species